UACGAAGGGGCUAGCGUUGCUCGGAAUGACUGGGCGUAAAGGGCGCGUAGGCGGCUUGCACAGUCAGGCGUGAAAUUCCUGGCUCAACCUGGGGACUGCGCUUGAGACGUGUGGGCUUGAGUGGGAAGAGGGUCGUGGAAUUCCCAGUGAUAGAGGUGAAAUUCGUAGAUAUUGGGAAGAACACCGGUGGCGAAGGCGGCGACC
rnacentral:rRNA from 1 species